GACGAACGCUGGCGGCGUGCCUAAUACAUGCAAGUAGAACGCAGUUGCGAACGGGUGAGUAACGCGUAGGUAACUGCAUGGUAGCGGGGGAUAACUAUUGGAAACGAUAGCUAAUACAGCAUACUACCAGAUGGACCUGCGUUGUAUUAGCUAGUUGGUGGGGUAACGGCUCACCAAGGCAACGAUACAUAGCCGAACUGAGAGGGUGAUCGGCCACACUGGGAUUGAGACUCAGCCAAGACCCCGACGGGAAGGAGACGUAGGAUAGCUUCUGCAAUGGACGUAAGUCUGAGCGUGAACCACCGCGGGAGUGAAGAGGGUUUUCGGAUCGUAAAGCUCUGUUGUAAGAGAAGCGGUAUCUUACCAGAAAGGGACGGCUAACUACGUGCCAGCAGCCGCGGUAAUAC
rnacentral:rRNA from 1 species